rnacentral:lncRNA from 10 species
AUUUGUUUCUGUCUGUCUCCAAGAUACAAAAUCAAAAAGGUGUUUUAAUCCUGAGGAAGAGUGUGAGUCUGGGAAAAUUUUGGAUCACUGAGAUGCAACCACACCUUCCACAGCCAUCAAUCACUCUUGCUUACAACUCACAUGCCAAGAAUUACAAGAUGAAGAUGGUGAUCAGGAGGCAUGACUUGGUAAUACUGCUGAGGCUGGGAGUCUUUGGGAAAUUCCAAGUGUGGGCAAUGGUUGUGGCAAUCUGUUUCCCACAGGCAUGAAAGGUUUUUGUUUUGUUUUGUUUUUGUUUUUUUGUUUUUUAACUAAAAGAUUGGAAUUUGCAGAAUUAUGUUAAACCAAUUAACAAGGGGAAUGGGUUUAGGACCACAUGUAAAAUGAUCCUUUCCCCAGUAUAGCUUAAUAGAAACAUGUCAUUUGUAGGUGGAAAAAACCUUCAUAUUCAUAUUCCCAGGAAGUCAAUGGAAAAUGAAAGUUGAUGGAAAUAAAGUUAAUAUCUAUGCGAAGCUUAAAAUUAAAAAGUGAAUAUUAAAAAGAGACAUGAAUAAUAUGCUUCUUUGGGGUUUUUCUAUGGUUGCUGUUGUUUUUCUUUUAGUAACCACUUGGUUAGUGUAAAGCAGAGAGGAGAAUUAGGAGAGGCGGAUGGCAGAGAGGCUUGCCAUGGAAGAUUCGUGGAUGACAGGAGAGGCCGUGUUCCAGAAUGCAAGGAAGAGGAGCCCAAGGACCAUAUCAAGGCCCUGAUUCUGGGAGACGAGAGAACACGCUGACUUAGAAUUCCUGCCUCUACGUCCUGGUCAGAAAGUAGAUGGACAGCCCUUUCAUCUCAGACUGGAUUUUGGUGAGAGAUGGGCAAACCCCAGGCUCUAGGCUGGAGCAGCGGCUCUUGUAUCCACACAAGAUCAGGACUGGUGGAGGGAACCAUCUUCAAACACAAAUUUGCGUCUUUUGGCAAUGCACUCCUUGGGUUUGGAAGCUUCCCUCCGAGAUGCUGAGCCUGACAUUUGGGGAAAGCCAGGGAAACAGAUGCUGGGUCAGUGCUCCUCCCACUUCCUCUACUCCCCUCCUAAGAGCUCCACUGAGUCACCAGCCAGCAAACACCCCAUGCCCGCUGAAAGAGAUGGACUGUGGGCACACGAGCCUCUGCAUGGGCACCGUACCCUUUUGGCCUCACCCAAUCACCUGGCUUUAAAAAAGCACAAGUAAACUGAUGAGCUUUUGGGUGGCAUCUGCUGUUCCCAGCCGUGGGAAGUGGUGGUAAAGCUGGGGCCACGCGGCAUGCUGGGUGCUGCUGAAUUCAGCCAAUGCCAUGCUGAGUAGGAGUGGGCAUGGCGGAGUCACAUGUGUAGAAGGUGCCCACCUGAGAAGGUGAGAAUGGAAAUGUUUCCUUGAUGGGUUUGCACUGCUCCCUGGAAAGAGGAGACUUGCUGAGAGCAGCAAGGUGAUAGCAAGUCUUCACAGCCACAGCACACUGUCUGAAUUAGUGCUUGCCCC